AUCAGCUAGAUUGGAUGCUUCCCAAUUAAUGAAUCAUUGAAUAAAGCCAGUAAGAUCUUCCAAUAUUACUCAGAUUGAAUUUUUUUAACAGCAUUAUUCAUGGAUUUUCUCAUUUAAUCUUACCAACGUUAUAAGGCGUUAGAUCCGGGAGAGCUGCUCUGGUAAAGGAAGACCGAGGCAAGGAGAAGGACUCACAUCAGCCUUACAGUUUUUGACUCAGGUACCUCUUGUGUCUUUGGCCUUUCAUUAGGCUAUUGCAAUGAAUCUUUCAGUGAAGCUAUUUUGGAGUCUUUAAGUCUUCUGGAAGCUUCUGCAUGCCAAUUAAAUUAGGUAUCCCAUGCUGUUUGUUUGAUUUGGGAACCCUUACUUUCAAGUGCACAUCUUAAAUAUACGAUCCUGUCUAGUUGGAAUGUUCCACAUAAUGGCUAUUUAAAUUCUAGGUUGUCUUAAUAAGAUUUUGUCAUUUCUGUAGAUUCAACAGCUUCAAGGAUGACAGUUCUUUGACAUAAAAUAAGCAGGUGCUAGAAGGUGGCUUGCUUAAUUUUUUGAAACUUGAAGAUCUUACUUCUUUAGCUAAGCCUUGGGUAUCUUAGAGGCAAAUUCAUACCUAAGACAGAUGUGCUGCUUUUUUGGAAAUUGUGUGGUAUUUUAGUUUACCUUGUUGCAUAGAAAUUUUCUUGAGGUUGGUAGAUGACCUAGUGUUGAUUGAACCCAUUCUGUGACCAAUUUAUCCUAGCAUGAGAGCCUUAGGGUUAAGGUGGUGAGCACUUUAACAGCUUUAAAGUGCUUGAACCAUGCCCACCAGUUUUGCAGCUUUGGCUUCCAAGAUUCCUAUUAGCAAUAGAUCUAUUAUUCCUUUCAUGAGAAUAGUUAUUUAUAGUGGCAGACACUAAUGGCUUUUAAUAGUCCCAACUUGCACCUACUUAGAUUUUGAUGUGCUGUUGAUCAAAAAAGUCUAAAUUUUUGUCUUAAUUGUUUCCCCAAGUACCCAGCAGUUUAUGACGGUGGACUUAACUCAGGGCUUUGUGAGUCCCUUAAUGGCUGCCAUCAAGCUUUCUUUAGAUUGAGGGGUACCCAUCAUUUUUCCCUUGUAGAAAUAAUCCUCAUUAAUUCCACCAGACAUGCUGUUGCCAGCUGCCUCAGCCCAGUUCCUGAACCUGUCAGUACCUCCCACAGGCAUUCACCUUUCAGUUGAGGUUGGCCACAAACCCAAAUGUUGGAGCCCUUUAAGUCUCACUGUGAAAAAUCUAGAGUCUUUCCUACCCCAAUUUUCUACCAGGAAGGAUUAGAACAAAGAAACUUGAAGAACUCAGAAUGUGAAAAUAGGUCAAAUAUCUGAGAAACAUUUACUAGAGAUCUUGGAAAGCAGUGGAAGAGACAGCACCCCAAAAAGGCUCUGUGUGUAUCUUAAGAUACACACAUCUAAGAGCUGACCCAGAAGCAUUUAGGGGCUCGCUUUGGAUCCCAUUCUCAUUAUGAAAACUGUCAAAUGACAAAACUAAAACAGUUUAGUGACAAAUUUGAUGUUCUUCAUUCAAGGGGAAAGCGAUCCACGGACUGGGGGAUACAGUGUAGAGCACAGGGACCUGGGGCAAGGACAAGUCCCACAGAGUGUCGGAUGAGGCCUCAUGGAAACAGGACACGGUCGGCUAGGAGGUCAGGGAUCUCCGCAUAAGGCUAGAAGCUCCUGCUUCUGGGGUAAGGUGAGCUGUCUAAAGCUGCUUGGAGAACUGUGAUUGCUGUAUGUGAAGAUUCCUUCACAGAUUUCCAUACCUAUUUCAUUUAUGUUUCACAGACUUAGGUUUAGAUUUAUGAGAUGGGUCAGGCCAUGGGGUAGCCUUCAUUUCUGGGUCUAAAUAUACAAAUUAACUUUAUCAGUUUCUAGUGAUAUGUUUAAAGUACUGAUAUCAACUUAUUAGGGUCUUGUCAUUGGUAGAGAAAUAUUUUCCACGGAAGCGUCAGAUAAGGGAUGAAGGUACAUUGUGGGAUGGGCUAGACUGGGGCCAGUGCUAUUGAGGUUUCUGAAGACUGCAGAGUGUGAGAACGUUCCACAGUCUCAUUUCCUUGAGUAUUACAGCUUGCUUCCUGCCAGGGCAUUUGAGAAAGAGGCAUCUCUCCUGGGGACCCCAGAAUAUCUCAUGGACUAUGGGUUAUUGAAGGUGAGCAAAUGGCGAUGGGGAUGAUGACAGAAAGCAAGAAAAGGAAGCUAGAAUUCAUGAUUCAUUAGGUACCCACAAAGCACCGAACUUUGCUAGCCCACAAAUUCUCUUUUAUUUUAUAAAAACCUUGACUGCUGUGUUACUCAAUCAGGGCCAGUUUUGCCACCGAGAGACCAUUUCUCAACGUGUAGAGACAUUUUUGUGUUCACAGCUGGACUUGGCAGGGGGUGUGCCAUGCGAAUCUAGUGGGGAGAGGCGAGG